rnacentral:lncRNA from 1 species
UAGACUUGAUCUGGUGCUACUUAUGACUCCUGAAACUUGACCAUUUAGUGUGCUUUGGUCUCUGAACUGCACAUUUGGUCACUCCCCUAUACUUUGGAUGGACUAGGUUCUGGAUCUACACUUGCAUUGGCAUCCGUUGACUUGAUCAGUCGCUAGUGUUGCAUGUGAUCAUUCACUAUUUCCUAGAUCAUUUGAUGUUCUACUUGUUUGGUUUUGUGAAAACCAUCUUGGAU